UUAAGUUCAGCGGGUAGUCCUACCUGAUUUGAGGUCAAAUUGUCAUGUAUUGUCUGAUUGAACAGACGAUUGGAAGCAGUGCAAACCCAUAUGAUUGCAGAUGUCCACGGCGUAGAUAAUUAUCACACCAAUAGACAGUCCACGCGGGGCACCGGCUAAUGCAUUUAAGGGGAGCUGACCAUCUGUAAAGAAGCCAGCAA
rnacentral:misc_RNA from 1 species